GGCGUGGCGGGCGUGCCUAUAAUGCAGUCGAGCGGAUUGAUGGGAGCUUGCUCCCUGAUAUCAGCGGCGGACGGGUGAGUAACACGUGGGUAACCUGCCUGUAAGACUGGGAUAACUCCGGGAAACCGGGGCUAAUACCGGAUAACUCAUUUCCUCGCAUGAGGAAAUGUUGAAAGGUGGCUUCGGCUACCACUUACAGAUGGACCCGCGGCGCAUUAACUAGUUGGUGAGGUAACGGCUCACCAAGGCAACGAUGCGUAACCGACCUGAAAGGGUGAUCGGCCACACUGGGACUGAAACACGGCCCAGACUCCUACGGGAGGCAGCAGUAGGGAAUCUUCCGCAAUGGACGAAAGUCUGACGGAACAACGCCGCGUGAGUGAUGAAGGUUUUCGGAUCGUAAAGCUCUGUUGUUAGGGAAGAACAAGUGCCGUUCCAAUAGGGCGGCACCUUGACGGUACCUAACCAGAAAGCCACGGCUAACUACGUGCCAGCAGCCGCGGUAAUACGUAAGUGGCAAGCGUUGUCCGGAAUUAUUGGGCGUAAAGCGCGCGCAGGUGGUUCCUUAAGUCUGAUGUGAAAGCCCACGGCUCAACCGUGGAGGGUCAUUGGAAACUGGGGAACUUGAGUGCAGAAGAAGAAAGUGGAAUUCCAAGUGUAGCGGUGAAAUGCGUAGAUAUUUGGAGGAACACCAGUGGCGAAAGCGACUUUCUGGUCUGUAACUGACACUGGGCGCGAAAGCGUGGGGAGCAAACAGGAUUAGAUACCCUGGUAGUCCACGCCGUAAACGAUGAGUGCUAAGUGUUAGGGGUUUCCGCCCCUUAGUGCUGCAGCUAACGCAUAGCACUCGCUGGGAGUACGUCGCAGACUGAACUCAAGAUGACGGGGGCCGCACAAGCGUGGAGCAUGUUGGUUAUUCGAGCAA
rnacentral:rRNA from 1 species